UUUAUUCACCCAUGAGCCUCUUCGCUCCCAUGUCUUUUUACAGGGCUGGGAGAAUGAACUGAUAUCGUGGGAACCCAACGACUGGUGUGGGAUUGAGAGCGUAGCAGUUCCCAGAGACAUGCUGUGGAUACCAGACGUUAUGAUCUUAGAGGACAUUUCUGAUACAGGCAGUAUCACAUUGAGCCCCUACACAGAGGUGGCCCACUCUGGCAUGGCCUAUGUGACAGAAAGCCGCCGGUUGACCACCACCUGCAAGAUGAAUCUUUUUAAGUUCCCCUUUGACACCCAGAACUGCAGCAUUACCUUUAUUUCCUUUAUGCUUAAAGGUAUAAAGUUGGGGCCCUUCUCCAACAGCAUUAUCAUGAGCCAAUUUUCCGAGAAGGUCAUGGUUACAUUGGGGGAAUGGGACUUCCUGGGCAUUAGGUUGUCCAUGGAAAAGCUAAUCUACGACAACAACAUUGUUUGGGACAAGCUGGUCUACAAGGUAUGCAAAUCAGAGAGAGCAAGAACUUGA
rnacentral:lncRNA from 1 species